rnacentral:ncRNA from 2 species
ACGGCUGAUAACUUAUCAGGUGUCGGCAAUGUACAUGAUUGUUACAUGUACAUUGCCGGUGAAAAGGGAAACAGGUGAGAGUCCUGUGCGAACCCGUCACUGUUACCGGGGAGUGCGGCAAGAAGCCACUGCAUAGAUGCGGGAAGGCUGCCAAAGCACAACGAGCCGGAAGUCAGGAGACCUGCCUGAUAUUUUAACUUGGA